UGGCAGGCUGCUUCUCCUACCUUGACUGCCACCCCAUUGGCAUCUUGAAAACACGCACCCUGCAACUGGACACAAUCUUCCUCAGCCCUGUUGAGAUUCUUUCCCCUUUGGUUGCCAUUCAGACCCAAGGAUCUGGUCCCAGCAGAUUUGUAGCUUUUUGUUUCUGAAUUCUUCAAAUGCUUUAAAGGAAUGUGAGAGGCAUGGAGAUCUGUUCCCUAAGA
rnacentral:lncRNA from 1 species